GACGAACGCUGGCGGCGUGCUUAACACAUGCAAGUCGAACGGAAAGGCCCUGCUUUUGUGGUGUGCUCGAGUGGCGAACGCGUGAGUAACACGUGAGUAACCUGCCCUUCACUUUGGGAUAACUUCAGGAAACUGGGGCUAAUACCGGAUAGGAGCUCCUGCUGCAUGGUGGGGGUUGGAAAGUUUCGGCUGUUGGGGCUGGACUCGCGGCUUAUCAGCUUGUUGGUGGGGUAGUUGCUUACCAAGGGUUUGACGGGUAGGCGGCCUGGGAAGGUGACCGGCGACCAUAGGACUGAGGGACGGACCAGACUGCUACGGGAGGCAGCAGUGGGGAAUAUGACACAAUGGGCGGAAGCCUGAGACGACAACGCCGGGUGCAGGAUGACCGCCUUCUGGUUAAAAACAGCUUUCGCCUGUGACGAAGCGGGAGUGACGGUAAUGGGUAAAGAAGCACCGGCUAACUACGUG
rnacentral:rRNA from 1 species